rnacentral:rRNA from 1 species
UACGGGGGGGGCAAGCGUUGUUCGGAAUUACUGGGCGUAAAGGGCUCGUAGGCGGCCAACUAAGUCGGAUGUGAAAUCCCCAAGCUUAACUUGGGAACUGCAUCCGAUACUGGAUGGCUUGAAUCCGGGAGAGGGAUGCAGAAUUCCAGGUGUAGCGGUGAAAUGCGUAGAUAUCUGGAGGAAUACCGGUGGCGAAGGCGGCUACCUGGACCAGCACUGACACUGAGGCACGAAAGCGUGGGGAGCAAACAGG